rnacentral:rRNA from 1 species
CGUGAGCGAUGAAGGCCUUCGGGUUGUAAAGCUCUUUCGGCAGGGAAGAUAAUGACGGUACCUGUAGAAGAAGCUCCGGCUAACUACGUGCCAGCAGCCCCGGUAAUACGUAGGGGGCAAGCGUUGUUCGGAAUUACUGGGCGUAAAGGGUGCGUAGGCGGUUUUUUAAGUUUGGUGUGAAAUCUCCCGGCUCAACCGGGAGGGUGCGCCGAAAACUGGGGGGCUAGAGUGUGGGAGAGGAAAGUGGAAUUCCUGGUGUAGCGGUGAAAUGCGUAGAUAUCAGGAGGAACACCUGUGGUGUAAACGGCUUUCUGGACCAUUACUGACGCUGAGGCACGAAAGCGUGGGUAGCAAACAGGAUUAGAUACCCUGGUAGUCCACGCCCUAAACGAUGCAUAUUUGGUGU